rnacentral:rRNA from 1 species
CCUACGGGAGGCAGCAGUGGGGAAUAUUGCACAAUGGGGGAAACCCUGAUGCAGCAACGCCGCGUGGGUGAAGGAGCGUUUCGGCGCGUAAAGCCCUGUCUGUGGGGAAGAAGAAAGUCGGUACCCGACCAAGAAGCCUCGGCUAACUACGUGCCAGAAGCCGCGGUAAUACGUCGGGGGCGCGCGUUAUCCAGAAUUACUGGGUGUAAAGGGAGCGUAGACGGCGAGGUAAGCCUGAAGUGGAAGCCCGCGGCCCAACCGCGGAACUGUAUUGGGUACUGUUUUGCUGGAGUAUGGGAGGGGGAAGCGGAAUUCCAGGUGUAGCGGUGAAAUGCGUAGAUAUCAGGAGGAACAACGGUGGCGAAGGCGGCUUACUGGACCAUAACUGACGUUGAGGCUCGAAAGCGUGGGGAGCGAACAGGAUUAGAUACCCCUGUAGUC